rnacentral:lncRNA from 1 species
AUGAUUCCGCCUUUAAUUGUUAAUUGCAUGCUAUAUGAUGUUGCUUAAAUGAACAUGUUUUCACAAAAUCUUCCUUCAAAAUACCUUUGCCACUGUUCUUGUUUUGAGAACAUGCAUAGUUUUUAUCCAUACUUUAUGAGUAAGACAAUGAGAGUUAAAAACAUUUUAGUCAUAGUAAAAAGGAAUCUCAAAGCCAAUCUUAUUGGAUUUGAAAUACAAGCUUUAAAUGACAAGUUCAGACAAUGAAAACUGUUGAUGCACAAAAUCAGCGAGGACUUUGGUACAACAGAAAGUGUUAAGUUUGUGACCUUCGCUAGAUUGCUCCGGUCACUAGUGCGGAUAAGUAAGUAAAUGGAUAGGGACAGGGAAGCAAACACAAGAUGUACGUGGUUCACCCAGAUUGGCUACGUCCACGGAGUAGAGGAGUUCUCAUUAACGGUGAAGGGUUUACACAAGUACAUAGGUUCAAGCUCUCCUUUAGUGAGUACAAGUGAAUGAUUUAGUACAAAUGACAUUAGGAAUUAUUGUGAGAGAAUGAUCUCUAUUUAGAGAAGAGAGUUUCUAGUUUCAUUCUAACAUUGACACGUGUCGUGUUGUGAUUGGCUUCUGAUAUUGACACGUGUCGCGCUAUGAUUGACUUCUGAUGUCGACACGUGUCGCACUGUGAUUGGCCUUCUGGUUGGAGGGAAACUCUUCUGGAUCCUUGACAGUAUAAAGUUGACUGGUGCUCAGUAGUUUCAAGAUUGGUCAAGUAUAGUACAAACAGUGC